AACGCGAAGAACCUUACCUGGGCUCGAACGGCUCACGAACGUCUUUGGAAACAGAGAUUUCCCGCAAGGGACGGGAGUCGAGGUGCUGCAUGGCUGUCGUCAGCUCGUGUCGUGAGAUGUUGGGUUAAGUCCCGCAACGAGCGCAACCCUUGUCCUGUGUUACCAUGCCGAAAGGCGGCACUCGCAGGAGACCGCCAGCGAUAAGCUGGAGGAAGGUGGGGAUGACGUCAAGUCCUCAUGGCCUUUAUGUCCAGGGCUACACACGUGCUACAAUGGGCGGUACAAAGCGCUGCUAAGCCGCAAGGCGGAGCCAAUCGCAAAAAGCCGCUCUCAGUUCGGAUUGCAGGCUGCAACUCGCCUGCAUGAAGCUGGAAUCGCUAGUAAUGCUAUAUCAGAACGAUAGCGUGAAUACGUUCCCGGGCCUUGUA
rnacentral:rRNA from 1 species